AGCGAACGCUGGCGGCAGGCCUAACACAUGCAAGUCGAACGGAUCCUUCGGGAUUAGUGGCGGACGGGUGAGUAACACGUGGGAACGUGCCUUUUGGUUCGGAACAACUCAGGGAAACUUGAGCUAAUACUGAAUGUGCCCUUCGGGGGAAAGAUUUAUCGCCAUUAGAGCGGCCCGCGUCUGAUUAGCUAGUUGGUGGGGUAAAGGCUCACCAAGGCUACGAUCAGUAGCUGGUCUGAGAGGAUGAUCAGCCACAUUGGGACUGAGACACGGCCCAAACUCCUACGGGAGGCAGCAGUGGGGAAUCUUGCGCAAUGGGCGAAAGCCUGACGCAGCCAUGCCGCGUGAAUGAUGAAGGUCUUAGGAUUGUAAAAUUCUUUCACCGGGGACGAUAAUGACGGUACCCGGAGAAGAAGCCCCGGCUAACUUCGUGCCAGCAGCCGCGGUAAU
rnacentral:rRNA from 1 species